UAUGACAUUCAGAUUAUUUUUAAUCUUUGAACAAGAACCAUGUAUUGGUCUCAGGAUUUGUGUUAUUUGUUUGGAAAGGUCUCAUUCUAUAUUGAAUCUAGAUUCAUUUACCAUGACUGAGAUGUCACAGUGGGAGGCCAGUAAAAGUUAGGACUUUUUAAUUUUAAUUUUUUUUAAUGACAGUGAAGAAAGACCAGAAUUUGGGGCGGUGGGGGGUACUGAGGAUUGAACUCAGGGACACCACUGAGCUACAUCUCCAGCUCUAUUUUAUAUUUAGAGACAGGGUCUCCCGAGUUGCUAAUAAGCACCUCACUGUUGCUAAAGCUGGCUUUGAACUCUGGAUCCUCCUGACUCAGCCUUAAGCCACUGGGUUUACAGGAAUGCACCACCAUGCCUGGCAAGACCAGACCUUAAUGCUAAUUUUUUAGGGGCCUGGAAUCAAAGGGGAUGAUGGUUAGGUAUUUCAGUUUUCUGAAUGAAAUUCAUCAGGGUUGAGGAAAGGUGCCAUGGAGAUGUAAGUUUUUUUUAAAACCAAGUUUACUCAUGAUUUCUGUUACACAUAGACGUUUAUUGCCCAAUAUGUCUGUGUUGUUAUAAUAUUUACCUAAGAUCCUUUACUUCCUCUUUUUCUGUUCAACUCUGGGACUAACACUGUGAACCCUAAAAACAAAACAAAAAUGCUAAACAGCUGUUUUUGUUUGGUUAUGCAUUAAACCUAGGGUUGUGAGCAUGCUGUGCAAGCACUCAACCACUGAGCUACAACCCCGACCCAAUGCUUUAACCUUUGUUUUGGUGGUUCACAUAUAUUUACAUUGUGAUACAGAAGUGAAAAAUGUCCUUACUAAUAGAGAGUAAACUAAUUUUUCAGGCAACAUUACCACUUCUGGCUGGCUUUCCAGGCUGUGAUAUCUUCUCAACUUUAUUCUACUUGGCAAUCACGACUGCUAACCAGGACCACGUUUCAUGAUCAGGUGUAACUGGUAGAUAUGCUCUUCUAGUUCAGGAGUAAGGGAUUCUAGGAGGUGAUUUUGUCUUGAGUAUCUGCAACUCUGGUGGGAUACCAAAGAGCCUUACCUUUAAACAGGCAGAAUCAAAGCUUUGGGAUUACUUUUUUUUUUUCCUCCUGACUUUUGAAAAACCCUUGUUGGUAAUAUUGGAGACAGGAAUUUCUUUAGAAAUUAAAUCUGUACAACAUGGGUAUUAAUUGUCUCCAUAGAAUAUUCGCCUAUCAUGGAAAUACUUGAGUAUGCAUUUUAGAUGAGGAAGAAUAGUACAAUUCAAGAGUCAUCCUAAUACGUGUGUCUGAUUCUCUUUCCUAAAUUGUUCACUUAUUUUUACUUCUGUGCUCAUUAUGAAGAGAGAUUUUUGUUUCUUCAUUCCUAACUCGAAGGCAUGAAGUAUAAUUUACUUUGGUGGGAUUCCACAGUAACAUGCUUUAGAGGACUCUGGA
rnacentral:lncRNA from 1 species